UUCCAGACUCCUACGGGAGGCAGCAGUGGGGAAUAUUGCACAAUGGGGGAAACCCCGAUGCAGCGACGCCGCGUGAGUGAAGAAGUAUUUCGGUAUGUAAAGCUCUCUCAGCAGGGAAGAAAAUGACGGUACCUGACUAAGAAGCCCCGGCUAACUACGUGCCAGCAGCCGCGGUAAUACGUAGGGGGCAAGCGUUAUCCGGAUUUACUGGGUGUAAAGGGAGCGUAGACGGCCAGACAAGUCAGAAGUGAAAGCCCAGGGCUCAACCCUGGGACUGCUUUUGAAACUGCCGGGCUGGAGUGCAGGAGAGGUAAGCGGAAUUCCUAGUGUAGCGGUGAAAUGCGUAGAUAUUAGGAGGAACACCAGUGGCGAAGGCGACUUUCUGGACUGUACCUGACGCUGAGGCGCGAAAGCGUGGGUAGCGAACGGGAUUAGAUACCCUUGUA
rnacentral:rRNA from 1 species